rnacentral:rRNA from 1 species
GACGAACGCUGGCGGCGUGCUUAAUACAUGCAAGUCGAACGGAAAGGACCUGCUUUUGCGGGGUGCUCGUGUGGCGCACGGGUGUGAAUCACGUGAGUAACAUGCGCUUGACUUUGGGAUAUCUUCAGGAAACUGGGGAUAAUACCGGAUAGGAGCUCCUGCUGCAUGGUGGGGGUUGGAAAGUUUCGGCGGUUGUGGAUGGACUCGCGGCUUUUCAGCUUGUUGGUGGGGUAGUGGCUUACCAAGGCUUCGACGGGUAGCCAGACUGAGAGUGUGACCGGCCACAGUGGGACUGAGGUACGGCCCAGACGGCAACUGGAGGCAUCGGUGGGAAAUAUUGCACAAUAGGCGGAGGCCGGAUGCAGGGACUCCGCGUGCUGGAGGACUGCCUUCGGGUUGUAAACCGCGUUCGACUGUAACGAAGCGUGAGUGACGGUAAUGGAUAAAGAAGCACCGGCUAACUACGUG